rnacentral:rRNA from 1 species
AUUGAACGCUGGCGGCAGGCCUAACACAUGCAAGUCGAACGAGUGGCGGACGGGUGAGUAAUGUCUGGGAAACUGCCCGAUGGAGGGGGAUAACUACUGGAAACGGUAGCUAAUACCGCAUAACAACGGGAGGUCCCAGAUGGGAUUAGCUAGUAGGUGGGGUAACGGCCCACCUAGGCGACGAACCCUAGCUGGUGUGAGAGGAUGACCAGCCACACUGGAACUGAGACACGGUCCAGACUCCUACGGGAGGCAGAGGUGGGGAAUAUUGCACAAUGGGCGGAAGCCUGAUGCAGCCAUGCCGCGUGUAUGAAGAAGGCCUUCGGGUUGUAAAGUACGUUCAGCGAGGAGGCGUUACUCGCAGAAGAAGCACCGGCUAACUCCGUGCCAGCAGCCGCGGUAAUAC